UAAAGGACUACUCCAAGCACCAUAACCACUAUGGUGCUCUGUAGUGGUUAUGGUGCUUGGUGUGUUCCCUAA